rnacentral:misc_RNA from 1 species
UGACUGAAAAGAAUAUUGCAUUUCAAGCCAUUGCAAAAAUGUGAUUAACUGUUGAUGAUAAUCAAAUAAGGCCUACGUCUUAUUUAUCAAUAAAAUAUUGACGUUUCCAUGAGAAACUACUCUGAGCCAUCUCGGUCCUAAAAGAACCCGUACGGUGCACGGGUCAAACAAAAUGGCGAAUCUCACUGGAGGGAUUCCCCUCAGUAAGGUCAGCCCAAAUUUCCUCCAUGCCAACUCAACCAGUCAUACAUGGCCAUUCAGUGCCAUUGCAGAGUUAAUAGAUAACGCCUAUGAUCCUGAUGUAAAUGCCUCCGAGUUGUGGAUUGACAAGGUAGAGAUCGGUGGAUUUCAGUGCAUUACAUUUGCUGACAAUGGAAAUGGGCUUGACGAGGACAAGCUGCUGAAAAUGCUGAGUUUUGGAUUCUGUGAGAAAGAUGUUUAUGAGAAAUCGAAUCAUAAACCAAUUGGGCAUUAUGGAAAUGGCUUCAAGUCUGGUUCAAUGCGACUUGGCCAGGAUGCGAUCGUCUUCACCCGACAUGUACACACCACCAGCAUUGGGAUGCUAUCCCAGACUUACCUGUCCAAGACGGGGUGUGAGACAGUCAUGGUGCCAAUCAUCACCUGGGAAUUACCUUCCAAUAAAAAAAUUCACAGUGGCAGCUCCCAAAAUAACCUGGCAGCAAUCCUCAAGUACUCACCAUUUACUACAGAGUCCAGUCUUCUCACGGAACUCUUUAGUCUGGAGAGGCUCAAGACUGGGACCAAAAGUUUCAUCUUUAACUUGAAACGUUCCAAAUCAGGAAGCCCUGAGUUGGACUUCGAGAGUGACCCACUAGACAUUCGUAAUCCAGAGACGCUAGCCAUGGACAUGACAACAGUGUAUAGGCCCAUGCAGGAAACCAUUCCAGAGUUCAAGACUUCUCUCAGGGAAUAUUGCAGCAUCCUGUUCCUGAAACCUCGUAUGAAGAUUGUACUCCGUGGACAGAAAGUUAAAACCAAACUUAUUUCCAAAAGUUUGUCGCACACAGAAAUUGAUGUCUACAAGCCGGGAUGGCUGGGUCGACCUCUGAAGAUAGUGUUUGGGUUCACCUGCUCUAAAGAUGCCCGCAGUGAAAACUAUGGACUUAUGAUGUACCACAGGAACAGGCUGAUCAAGGCCUACGAGAAAGUUGGCUAUCAGAGACAGCGCAAUAAUUUGGGUGAAGGAGUAGUGGGCGUGGUUCAGGUGGAUUUCCUUCAGCCCAUACACAACAAACAAGACUUCAACAAGGAUGAGAAGUACAACUCCUUCAUGACCAACAUCUCACAGAAGUUGAAUGAUUACUGGAACGAGAAGAAGUGUGGAGGCAGUCGGGUUCAGGUGGCGCCAGCAGGGAAUCUCCCCGACUGGCUGUGGGCCCAGUGUGAAAACUGUCUGAAGUGGCGUCGUCUUCCUGAUGGCGUUCGGCAGACAGGACUCCCAGACCGAUGGUUCUGUCACAUGAACCCUGAUGCAUCACAUAAUCGUUGUGAUGUGGAGGAGGAACCCGAGGAUGAGGACGAAGCUUUAAACAGGCCGACUUACGAGAAAACUUACAAGAAGCAGCAAGAAGAGAAGCGGAAAAUGUGCAAGAUGGAGGAGCACCAACGUCGGAUACAGAAAGAGAGAGAACUACGAGACAGGGAAGUGGCAAUUCAACGAACAUUACAGCGUAUAAAUCAAGGAGAGGUGUCAAGUUCCAAGAAUCAGAUGCGGAAGGAUGUGGUGAACUUGGAGAAGGCUCUGAUUGAGUCGAAGAAGCGCGAGGCGCUGCAGAAGCGGCUGAUCCUGCAGCUCCAAGAGCAAAAGAAACAUCAGGAGCAGCAGAAGGGGGAGCUUCUGAAGGCCGCCGAGAACCUCCGUGUUGUCAACAUGCAGAACAAUACCCUUCUGGAGAAAGCAGAAAAUUUGGCUGGUAAUUCCCCUGUGUCAUCCACAAGCGGCAACAACAGGAACCAAAACCAGAACCAGAACAUGUGUUUCAAGACGGAGGAUGGAGAGGUGAUCAGUAUUGUGGAGAAUGAUGAUGAUGCAAGUCCUCAGCAAAAAAAUCGUAAUGCUGGAAAGCGGAAACCUGUGACCGACCUCAUUGAUCUGACCAUGGAGGAAGAUGAUAUGCCUUCAUCACCGACAGCUAGCAAGUUGUUCCGGACUGAGGACAUUAAACCAGACAAAGACGAACUCGAUGAGCAGCUGCAGAACAGUGAAGGCAUGGAGACCGAUGCUGUCAAGGACAAAAGCAAAGAUGUGAAACCAAGUCUUGAAGAAUUGGACAGUGAAAUCGAUGUGUUGAGGAAAGCCAACAGCGAAUCCAAAAAACAGAGGAAAAAUGCAGCAAGUGGUAAUCUGUACUCAAAAUCAAAAGAAAAACAGAUUGCUCCUCGAAAAGAGAAGGACAAAGAUGGAUUGUGUGAAUCUGAAACAAAGCAGAGAUAUGAGGAACUGAAAAAGAUGUAUUCUACUAAAUGUACAGAGGUGACACAGGCUAUGGAGGAGCUGAAGGCUUUACAGGACAAUGUGCACAGGCUUCUGAGGAUUAUAGUGCCCGAUGUGGAAUUGGGGGAUGCUCAAGACAUUCGUUACAUUGUGGAGGAGAUGAUCAGGGUGAACUCUGAUGAAUCUUUGUUGAAUGGCGCAUCAGCCACGUGAUGGUGGAUCUAUGUUUCUUCCUUGUAUCUUAUAUGUGUCAUAUUGUUAUAUUUUUUCAAAGGAACUUGAUGAACUUGAUGUGAUGGACAGUGAACAAUCACAGAAUUGAAUAGUUGUUUUAGACUAAUGAAAGCCAUGGAAUAACUUCCUGUUUGUGACAAGUCUCUACUCAAUUUAUGUGCAAAGAAAUGUGUUUUAUAUUUUCAUAUCAAACUUUUCAGCCAUCUUAAUCUUUAGCACAGGGACCACCUAUUCCUAUUGAUUGGAUGUCAACUAUCAUCUAAGAUUCAUUAUCAUUGAUCCUAGAUUAUGCUGAGAUUAGUAAGUUUUGGAUGGACUAGUCAGCCAUCACAGGUCUCAUGCAUGUGCAUUCAGAGAAAUAAACUGAUUUCUUGUAAAAUGUGUAUGAUUAAUGUACUUCUCUCUUGGAAUAUGUUGAUUCUGUUGCAGCCUCUGACUGGGUACAAGCCUGUGACUUUGGUUGAAUAGUAGCCCGUGACUGUGACUGAGUAGUAGACUGUGGCUGAGUAGUAGCCUGUGACUGUGGCUAAAUAGUAGCCUGUGACUGUAGCUAAUAGUAGCCAGUGACUGUGGCUGAAUAGUAGCCUGUGACUGUGGCUGAGUAGUAGCCUGUGACAGUGGCUGAGUAGUAGCCUGUGACUGUGGCUGAAUAGUAGCCUGUGACAGUGGCUGAGUAGUAGCCUGUGACUGUGGCUGAUUAGUAGCCUGUGACUGUGGCUGAUUAGUAGCCUGUGACUGUGGCUGAGUAGUAGCCUGUGACUGUGGCUGAACAGUAGCCUGUGACUGUGGCUGAACAGUAGCCUGUGACUGUGGCUGAGUAGUAGUCUGUCACUGUUAUUGAAUAGUAGCCUGUGACUGUAUAUAUCAUGCUUAUCAAACAGUAUUUCUGACUAUUAUUUGGUAAAGUUACUCAAUUAACAAUUCUGAAAUUCCCUGACUCAAAAUGCAAUUAAUGUAGUACUUGACAGCUGGAGGUACAUGUUAUGCCACGACAGUGUUACUGAACAUAUCAUCUGGAGGUACAUGAUAUUCGCGGACAGUGCAGUAAUAUAUAAGUGCUAGUCAGGUGGUCACAUGUAGAACAAAACUUCUCAAAAUUGGAUUUGCAUGGUUGUGAAGUCUGAAUCUAUCUUUCUAUGUGUCCGUCAUGUAUUUGUUUGUUGUCCACAAGAGUCCAUUAUCAGGGCAGGAAUUAUGUCACCCUGAUUAAUAAUCUGUCAGUUCUCAGGUAAUCACAAAUACUGAGCAGCAAUACAGUGCUGGGCCCUGUUCCUUGAUUGUAGCGCUACGACUGUCGUAAGUCUGUGUUAAAGUGUGGGAGUUAAGUAAUCUUAGCACUAUGAUUGUUUUGUGGAACGGGGAGCCCUGGUGUGUUCUGAAGUAGUCGACUUCAGCAUGUUUAGUCGGCAAGUAUAUGUUUGUGAAGUAAAAUUAUUGCAGCUUAAGCUGCAGGUUUCAUAGCUCUGCCCCAUGUGAAAUUUAUUAAAACACUUUCUACUUCAACUUUUGCAUGAAAGCAUAAUUCUUGAUGCAUAAUUUGUCCCAUUUCAUGUUAAGAUAAAGAUGUAUGAAGUUAACAUUUAAUAUUAUUGAUUGUUCUCCAAGUGAAGGAUAUGUUUAGUUUGUGGUUCUUUAAAACAAGUGGGUACAAUAAUGACCUUGGUUGGCCCUGUAGAUGUUGACUUGUCAAACUGGUUUGAAAUUUUCUGGCAUGAAAUUUUAUUAAUUUUUUACAAUAAAUGAGAUUGUUUUCAUCAAUUGCUUGUGGCCAUAUUAUUACAUACAAGAAAGGCUGCUGUUGAGAAUAACAUUGAUUAAUAAAUAUGUUGUGUUAAAGAUCAUUAAAAUCCCCUUUUAUGA